UACAAUAGGAAUUAGUUGACAAAAUGAUUGUAUCAACUUUCACACAUGAAUCAAACAGGGAGCAAUCAGACUUGAAGCACUACAGUACCAAUCAGUUGACAAAAUUACUGUAUUAACUUUAAGACUUGAAGCACUACAAACUUGAAUCAACUUUCAGAAUCUAUUACAUACUAAUAAUGUAAAUGGAGGAUGUGUGGACACCAAUAUAUCGAGAUUGAGGGGGGAACUUAUAGUCUGCACGUCGGUGUCAUCAAUCAUUAUUGUUGGCAUGUCCGAGAGCAGAACCUCCUUGGCCUCCACCUGCACUUGACUGGAUGCCUUAGGCACCUGCACAUGCACACACAUUAUACAUCAAAACCAGGCCAAAUAUGAACAACAACAAUAUAGUUUGCACAGAAUCUAUCAGUGUGAAGACAGAUUAAUACACCAGAUUUGGUUUUGGACUAAAAAGAAUAUCAUUGCCAUUUAAUGAAGACUAGAAUCCGAAGUUUGAUGAGAAAACAUAGGAGAAAAAGAAAAAAAAAUGAACUUGACUAUGUAAAUAGAUCCAUUACUUGUCUGGUUGUAAGUACCCAAUUUUUUUAUAUUGACAAAAUCUGAACCCCCAGACUAGUGAUAUUGACAUCACACUCAAACUCUGCUGCUGUCAACUACAAAUAGAAUCCAUCUAUGUAGGGGUUCAUGAUGUGUUGCAGAGAACUAAGAUAACCACUACAGAGUUUAAUCAAACUUCUCACAUUACAAAACAACUUGGCCCUUCCUUUUGGUUGGCAUUUCUUUACAGUUUUUCUUACUAUUUGGCAUUAUGCGACCAUGUAGACAGUAUUUUUCAGAUAAUUUUGUUGUCCCUGCUACUAAAGUUCAGUUCUAGACACGUUAGCCCCAUGUAACACACUUCUAUUCAAAAUAACAAACAUGUACUACUACCCUGAAGCAAUUGAAGCGAGACACUUCCCUCAAGCAAUCAAACUGGAAGUGGUGCUCCUGCAUCAGGAGUACCAGGGGCAGUGCAAAAAAAGAGUACCAGGGGAAAAUAGAGGCAUGUAUCCCAUAGGUCUGCUGAUCAUAGGAAACUGGGAGCAUCCAUUAACCAAAAUUUCACAUAUGGAACCCAUCAUGAUCUAUCCUGAUGAUCUUAUCCUCAUAACCAAUAACAAAUGGAGGAUACACCAUUUGAACUGCACCACUGAAUGGCCUAUUCAAAGCAUGGUGAAUUUGUUCCAGAAUAGGAGAACUCCAUCAGCAUACUAUUGAUGAGUGGUGAAACCUGACCAGUAGUAUGUCACAUUGGUAGCUAGUUACACUAAGUCUACAUUCUGCCCUUGACCACUAAGUAAGUUUCUUGUAAUUUUUUUCAAGCAUGUCAUGCACAUAAUUGUCAGCCGAAUUUGAAAGCUUUAUGGUAGUCAAUCUAUCAGAAUUUAAAUGCAACUUAAUUUUGCAGUUUAAAACCUCAUUAAGUUCACUUGCAUGUCUAUGGUGAUAAUUUUCCAUAUAAAAUUUUAAUGAAAAACUGACCCUGUAAAUCUCUAAUACUUACAUGUAUGAUUGCUAUGGUUGAACAUGACAGAAAAAAGGUGACGGGAUCAGGUUCUUGUUCUCACCAUUGACAGUAGCAUUGGAUGUACACAUCAUGGAUGAAAUUGGGCAGCACAGCCCCUACUAUUUUUAACUCCACGCAGACCUCCCACUCCUCAUCUAUGUCAGCGUCAAUCUUAGAGAUCGGCCUCUUGCUCGUCUCUAACUCUGAGCAAACUGCUCUCUGCUUGUUGCACCCCAUGUUACAGUCACACGAGGGAAGAAAAUAUCACAACUAUGGACAAACAAGGGGCGUCAAUAUCAUAGGUCCAAACUCCAAACUGCAACAUAAAGCUGCAAAAUUACACAAGAACAGAAGUGCAGUGACCACAAUAUGGCACCAAUUCUUGAAUCAAACCACACAAACACAAAGACUGAGCCUUGUAGCUAAGGAUCCGAGGAGGCGAAGUGUGCCGGUGAGGCUGCACACGGUUCACUGAGCAGAGGAAGAGGAAGAAGUGUGCGUCAGGGCUGUAGGACAUCGUCAUCUACAGAUACACCCGCCAUUAUCCCUCGAGCAGACUGAUGCCCUCCAGAGACGCGAUGUUAACAACGUUGGCAUGCUGGAUGUCGGCCUUGAGCAACUUCAGUGAUUCCCAGAACAACCUCCGAGCGGCGCCGGGCACCACCAUCAUAUCUUCCUCUCUCUUCCUCCGCGAGCAGAGGCCACGACGCACUGCACUCACGACCACCAUCCGAAUUGAUUCCGUGCGCGUGGCCUAGCUGGCGGACGACUGCAGGGGGUCAACGCAGGGGAGCAUCUUCUCCCGAGAUGGACUCGAGGUGGACAUGGCCGAUCUUGUGCGGCACGUGGAAACAACAGGCGAGGGUGAUAGCUCCUCUGCAUGGACGGGUCUGACGGCGGCUAGAUGGAGACGAGCUCCUUCCUCCCACGCGAGCACUGUCGGCGGCGGCCAGAUGAAGGCGGCCUCUCUCCUCCCGCGCAAGCAUGACCAGCGGUGGUUAGAUGGAAUCGUCCUCCCUCCCCCUCGCACGAGCACGGCAGACGACGUCCUCCCCCCCCCCCCCCACGNAGAGCGGAGCGCAGCGUCGCAUCGUGGGGAGGGGAAAUGGAAACACCGGCGGCAAACCCUCGCCGCAGGUCGUCCUGCGGGAGCCACUGAACUGUAGCUAGGAGCAGAAAGGGGAGGAGGAAGCGGGGGCGGGGAAGCCACUCACCGAGAGGAGGAGGCGCCGCNNNNNNNNNNNNNNNNNNNNNNNNNNNNNNNNNNNNNNNNNNNNNNNNNNNNNNNNNNNNNNNNNNNNNNNNNNNNNNNNNNNNNNNNNNNNNNNNNNNNNNNNNNNNNNNNNNNNNNNNNNNNGAGGAGGAGGCGCCGCCGCGUCCUCGUCGCCGCCGCUCCCCUGCCAGGCUCCGGCCUUCCUCUUCGUCACCGGCGACCCCGCCUCACCGCCCGCCUCCAAAUCGUCCUCCCAAUCCUCUACAGCGCACCGAUCCAUCCCCUGCCGAGCAGUCGCCGCCGUCAUUCCGCAUCGAGCAGUCGUCGCCAUCGUUCCGCAUCAAGCAACCGUCGUCCCCAACCGCGUGGAUAAGGAGCGUGGGCGGAAUUAUUACAUGACGCAACGGUUAUUUUGUAAACUCGAAACGUUUUUUUCCAGAUCCACUUACAUAGGGACUGUGGAUUGAAUACCCCGAAGCGGAGGGACUUUUGUGCAAAAAUGCCGACGACGGACGACAGAAGCCUUCGGUGCUUUAUUAUUAGGGAGAGAUAUUUCAGGUAAGCCACUACAUGGGUGCGAAAACCUACAAAACCAAUAAGUUAUGCUUACAUCCCACCUCGGCUGAAAUCUGCAUCAGGUCAAUUGCCACGAAACUAUCUCCAUCGGGUAAAUUGUCCACGAAACAUCCAAGGUCGCCGUCGAGUUCGUCGGAGAAAGAAGCGCCGACUUCGCCGGAGGUAGAAGAUCAUCCGCGGAGCACUCCAAUGUCGCCUGCUGCGGCUACACGAGAGGUAUGUAUCACAAAACCAAAAGAUAACCGGGAUUUAAUCUGGUGAGUCUAUGAUGAUAUUGUCCUACUUGUUUGGUCAGUUGUGGACUCAUGGUGUAGGCUACUGAAAAAGUUCUUCAGAUAUGUUUCUGCUGGCCUUCAGAGUAUGGAUUUUGUACAUUCAGAGUGCGGUUUAGGUCCUUCUAUAGAAGUUUCUCCUCCCGAAAUUUCUGUUUAUGGCUUCAUUUUUCAUUCAGAGACGAAACAGAUUGGCUGAACAUCACCAGAGACGCACGGUGACGUUUAAGCCAUCCGUUGAGCUAUAACAGAAAGAAAUUCAUCUUUGGCUGACCAACGUUUCAGAGUUAUAAAGAUUUUUUUUCCUUCCUUUAAGAAUAUACUUACAUGUCUUUCUAGCUAAGUUUUUAGACAGUACUACUGUUGCAUGAAAUUCGUCUUUGGCUGACCAAUGUUUCAGAGUUAUUCACCCAACUUCAUGCAACGUCGUUGCUGACUUGCAAACCAAACCCCUACCGUCAACAUGAAAACCCUGGAACUUUCAAUUGCGCUAUUUUACAAGUAGAAGUUAUUCCAAGCAUCAUGGCGACCACAGAAAAAAAUCUGCCCUGCUUGCUAGACCGGGUAGUUUCCUGAAGUGAGGUGUCCGUUGAGCUAUAACAGAAAGAAAUUCGUCUUUGGCUGACCAAUGUUUCAGAGUUAUAAAGAUUUCUUUUCCUUCCUUUAAGAAUAUACUUACAUGUCUUUCUAGCUAAGUUUUUAGACAAUACUACUGUUGCAUGAAAUUCGUCUUUAGCUGACCAACGUUUCAGCGUUAUAAAGAUUUCUUUUCCUUCCUUUAAAAAUAUACUUACAUAUCUUUCUAGCUAAGUUNNNNNNNNNNNNNNNNNNNNNNNNNNNNNNNNNNNNNNNNNNNNNNNNNNNNNNNNNNNNNNNNNNNNNNNNNNNNNNNNNNNNNNNNNNNNNNNNNNNNNNNNNNNNNNNNNNNNNNNNNNNNNAGUACUACUGUUGCAUACUGGAGAUGAUAUGUUAGAGUAGUAGACUGACACAGCAUGGCCAUAUAUGAGAAAUUGAGAACUACCGGACUACAAAGAAUGUUAAGUGUCGAAGCACUUCUGUACGAGUUUGCAAGAGAAUACGUUGGUGCAUGAUCCAACAUACAUAAUCCAAUUAGUGGUAUUUAAGAAGAUGCUUAAGCAAAAGAAUCCAUGUAUGCAUAAUCCCACAUUUGGCAAAAUAUACAUGUCGGGCAGGAUACCAGGGAUUCAGCAGAUAUGCAGGAGUACCAGGGAUUAUGCUUGCAGGAGUACCUGUCCAUUUCCAAAGUAACAAGAAAACAAUAAAUCAACGCUUAAAUACCAAAAAAACAUAGUACAGUGCAUCAAUGAUUCAUACUGUCAGCAUAAGAACUUACCUGAAGUUCAGAGAUCUGCAUGUGCACAAGGAAUCAAGCGCACCAUCAGUUAGGAUUGACCCACAAAAUCGUAGGGGGGG
rnacentral:lncRNA from 1 species